AGUGAACGCUGGCGGUAGGCCUAACACAUGCAAGUCGAACGGCAGCACAGUAAGAGCUUGCUCUUACGGGUGGCGAGUGGCGGACGGGUGAGGAAUACAUCGGAAUCUACUUUUUCGUGGGGGAUAACGUAGGGAAACUUACGCUAAUACCGCAUACGACCUACGGGUGAAAGCAGGGGAUCUUCGGACCUUGCGCGAUUGAAUGAGCCGAUGUCGGAUUAGCUAGUUGGCGGGGUAAAGGCCCACCAAGGCGACGAUCCGUAGCUGGUCUGAGAGGAUGGUCAGCCACACUGGAACUGAGACACGGUCCAGACUCCUACGGGAGGCAGAAGUGGGAAAUAUUGGAAAAGGGGCGCAAGCCUGAUCCAGCCAUACUGCGUGGGUGAAGAAGGCCGUCGGGUUGAAAAGCCCUUUUGUUGGGAAAGAAAAGCAGCAGGUUAAUACCCCGCUGUUCUGACGGUACCCAAAGAAUAAGCACCGGCUAACUUCG
rnacentral:rRNA from 1 species